ensembl:lncRNA
AUGGACCCACCCUGUAAAUUAUUCAAGCACAAUGACGGUACCUCCGCUAGGGCUAAAUGGUUCGACUUUGAGGCUUUUAAUCAGGCGGCUGCGCAAUUAGUAACCAAUUGUCAAGUUUUGCAUGCAACACUUAGUAGUCUCGAUGCAACCCGCAGUGGUGUGUCUAAUGAGCGUCCUCGUCCAACUCAUUCUGAACCUAUUGCUGAUGAUGUAACCGAAACACAGACGGAGUUUCCUGUAACCCCGAAUGUUACUGUUGUUACUCAGGAUACCGAUGAAUGUGUUAUUACUGAGCCUUCUUUCACCCAUGCUUAUCAGGGGGCUGAUGCUACUGUAUCUGUUGCUGCUGCUGCUGCUGUUGCUGACGCAUCACCACACAGCCCCUCAAACAAUGGAAAUUCCUCAAGUGUUAACCAUACACAAACACAUGCUGCUGUAGUUGAGCCCAUUGUUCAGUCUGGGUCUGGCAGUCACAGCCAGCUUAGCAUCAGAGAGAUACCUAAUUUCAAUGCACGAGAGUUGCGUGAGCGCCUUGAUUUUAGGGACAUAAGUCUUGAUGAUCCAGAACAAGUGCCAGAAAGAGUUAGAAGCUGCCUAGCUAAUGUGAUAGAUAGAGCAGUGGCUGGAUCUCAGCAGGGUUGUGUUCUAAAUGUGGUCCUCCGUGGACCCUCGCUGGCUUCUGAUGUUCAAGCUGUUUUAAAUCCUGAUGAUCAGUAUGACCCUGACCUGUUUCUCGACCAAAUAGCACAAGUUAUGCAAAGUAACGACGAAUCUAUCGGUGAUGAUGAAUUAGAGUUUAUUGUCACAGUUGCACAAAACAGUAGCGGUGGUGGGGCUCGCUUAAAACUGGCAAACAUUCCUUAUGAUGAGAUUCUCUCAAAGAAGGGUGAACAUCUGUAUACACCAAACAAUACGCACAACAAUUUGUGCUUCUCCCUGUGCAUAGCACAUUCAUUAAACCCAACAGCCCCAGAGCAUGAAAAAUAUGCUGCUGCUAAACAGUUACAUGCUCAAGUAGGUCUACGCGACACACAGACAGUAUCAUUCUCUGAUGUCUGCAAAUUUGAGAAACACCUAAACAUUAAGAUAGUGAUCUAUUAUCACGCAGCAGGGCGUAAACGUCUGCAUACUUUUUUCACACAUGAUGAGCCAAAUCCAAACACUGUAAUGCUGUACCUACACAAUGAACACUAUCACCUGAUUGAAAAACCCACAGCUUUUCUAGGGGCAGGCUAUGUGUGUAAUUUUUGUUACAAUACAUAUGAAUCACCGCUCUAUCACAGCUGUAAACAUAGAUGCAACGUAUGUUUCACACUCUGUCACCACCACAGAGGGCCCACCGUGAAAUGCAGUGACUGUAACCGCAUCUGCAAAUCACAACACUGUUACCAACAACACAAAUUACCAGAAAUAAAACACAACAUGGUCCCGUGUGACAAUAUGAAGCAUUGCACGAGCUGUGGUGUCACAUAUAAAAAAUCAAAGAAAUCACCACACAGAUGUGUCCAGCCUAAAUGCGAGCACUGCCGCGAGCCUAAAUUAGCCGGGGACUCUGAGCAUCAGUGUUUCAUACAGCCUGUUGAACAACAGAACCCUUGCGAUAAAUAUAUUUUAUAUGAUUUUGAGACACGGUAUCACAACGGCAAACAUGAGGCCAACUUUGUGUGUGCGUCUGAUCUGAAGGGCAACAAGUUCUCAUUUAAUACAUUAAAAUGUGUGGCUGCGUUUGUGCAGCAUUACAGACGCCCGAGGUUUCGUGGGUACACAUUCAUAGCCCAUAACGCGUCCGGCUUCGAUAAUUACAUAAUUUUGGAGUACUUCGUCAAGCAAUGUAUAACACCUACCGUCACAAUGAGAGGGAGCCGUGUGAUUUUGAUGCAUGACACGGCCUAUGACCAGCGGUGGAUUGAUUCGUUCAGCUUUUUGCCCAUGGGUCUUGCCAAAAUACCCUCUGCUUUAGGUUUUCAAGACCUGCAGAAGGGCCAUUUCCCACAUAGAUUCAACACUAGGGAUAAUGAGUAUUAUGUCGGUCCAUACCCGGAUCCCUCCUUCUAUGGUUAUGAGCGCAUGUCUGAAAGUGGUAAGGCGAGCUUCAUGGAAUGGUACCAGACCGCCUCACAGAACACCUUUGAUUUUCAGGUUGAACUCAGACGCUACUGUGUUAACGAUGUUGAUGUCCUGCGUAAAGCAUGUACCAUAUAUCGUGACACUCUGUUGGUUGUACACAAGUUGAUCCAUUCAUGCACACCACCAUGGCUGCAUUCAGUAUGGGUGUGUAUAAAACACUGUUUCUGCCUAGAGACACGCUCGCUCUCACGUAUGAUGGUGCAUACGUUGAGCAGAAUAAGACAUUUUCAAACGUCUCUAUUGAAUGGCUUCAAUAUGUGUCCCACACCACCAACACAGUGA